CAGCACGUUCGACGGAAGAUCAGAAGACAGAGCCUUCACUUGUGCUUCUAAUGGAUGGAUUCCCCGACGACAUGCAUGGUCAACACAGCUAUUGGCUAUUUCUCACCGGAUAUGGUACGCCAACCAUUGCCGCCCCUGGGUGAUGUCGUUAAUCAAGUACUUGAAUGAUAGACUCCUUGAUCUACCUUUCCACAAUUCAAGCCAGCAACAACGGUUGGGGGGGUCAGAUACGCAUGCACAUCCCUCGUGCAAGCUUUAUACUUGAAGAGAAACUACGGAUCCGGCCACGCAGCACGUCGUAAGUAAACCUGCUCCGACAUCACCGAUGGCCUGACAUUGGCCUCACGGCUGUCUUCGUGCUUUGUUGGCACAUCAUCUGCCUGCAGUCGUCACCAAACGACCGAUCCGUCGUCAUCCGCGGACCAGAAGCACAAUGACCUAGAUCAAUGCAUGCUACUCUCUAUGACACAAUUAGGAUGAUAUUACAUCCGCAUCACAUAUGUGCAUGGUGUGUACGACAUACGGAUCAAUGGAGUAUAUACAUACUCUGCUAUAAACGAUGUUCCCCAUACUUCCUGUAUAUGUCAACUUGGUACUCCUUUUCAAUAAUACAGCAUACUACCAUUUUUU